GAUGAUGAUGACAAUGACAAUAACGACGAUGAUGACAAUGACAAUAAUGGGCAUGAUGGUCAAGAAGAAUCCGAACAAUCUAUAAGUUAUGAGAUGAUGUCUCAGUGGCCAUUAGAAUGGAGGAAAACACUUAAAAGUGUUGCAGAGUUUUGCGUAAAACAAAGAUAUGGAAACAGCAUCAUGAAAGAAGCAACCACAGACAAGAACUUCAGCAGAAGACAUUUGUGUACACUCAGAAUCAAACAAGGACAGAAAUCUAUUUUCGGGCGCAUUUGUGAACUAGCCACGGACCAAAGUGCGUAGGAAUGGCAGAGCAAUAUCUUGAAGGCAUCGUGAGGCAGUUGUCUCAAACUCACACUUUCCAAAUAUUUGUGUCAUUCAUUGAGAAAUGUAAAAGAAACAAGGUACGCUAAUUUUACAAAUGAUAUAAAAUGAGUUUUAAUUACAUCUGAUUUAGGUACUUUAUAGAAAUGAUAAUUUUGUAAAUAUAUAAUAAUCAAUGCAUUAGUGUACAGAAAUGAUUGCUACAUUCCUCAUCGUAUCUGUUAAUGGAAUCAGCAACUUCAAGUAAGGUUUUUCCGAGUUAUUUUUCUAAAAAUCCAUCCAAUGUGAAUGUGACGGAACUUGUCCGUCUCCUUCUAAAUCUUCAUAGGGAAACCCUUAGUACCUGAGACGAAAAUGAAUUUCUAGAUUUAGUUAGGGUUAAGAGGACCAUAAAAUAUACCAGUGCUGAACAGGAAUAUACGUCUUGAUAAAGGCUCAUCAGAAAUGUUAAAAAAAAAAAAAAAAAA